AGCGGCGGAUGGGUGAGUAACACGUGGGGAACCUGCCCCUAAGUCUGGGAUACCAUUUGGAAACAGGUGCUAAUACCGGAUAAUAAAGCAGAUCGCAUGAUCAGCUUUUGAAAGGCGGCGUAAGCUGUCGCUAAGGGAUGGCCCCGCGGUGCAUUAGCUAGUUGGUAAGGUAACGGCUUACCAAGGCGACGAUGCAUAGCCGAGUUGAGAGACUGAUCGGCCACAUUGGGACUGAGACACGGCCCAAACUCCUACGGGAGGCAGCAGUAGGGAAUCUUCCACAAUGGACGCAAGUCUGAUGGAGCAACGCCGCGUGAGUGGAGAAGGUUUUCGGAUCGUAAAGCUCUGUUGUUGGUGAAGAAGGAUAGAGGUAGUAACUGGCCUUUAUUUGACGGUAAUCAACCAGAAAGUCACGGCUAACUACGUGCCAGCAGCCGCGGUAAUACGUAGGUGGCAAGCGUUGUCCGGAUUUAUUGGGCGUAAAGCGAGCGCAGGCGGAAAAAUAAGUCUAAUGUGAAAGCCCUCGGCUUAACCGAGGAACUGCAUCGGAAACUGUUUUUCUUGAGAGCAGAAGAGGAGAGUGGAACUCCAUGUGUAGCGGUGGAAUGCGUAGAUAUAUGGAAGAACACCAGUGGCGAAGGCGGCUCUCUGGUCUGCAACUGACGCUGAGGCUCGAAAGCAUGGGUAGCGAACAGGAUUAGAUACCCUGGUAGUCCAUGCCGUAAACGAUGAGUGCUAAGUGU
rnacentral:rRNA from 1 species